rnacentral:rRNA from 1 species
GACGAACGCUUGCGGCGUGCCUAAGAAAUGCAAGUCGAGCGGGGUUAUUGGAGCUUGCUCCGAUAAUCUAGCGGCGAACGGUCGCGUAACACGUAAGCAACCUGCCCCAGAGUGGGGGAUAGUCCGCCGAAAGGCGGCUUAAUACCGCAUGUGAAUACAUGAUUGCAUGGUUAUGUAUUUAAAACAGCGAUGUGCUCUGGGAUGGGCUUGCGGCCUAUCAGCUAGUUGGUGAGGGUAACGGCCUACCAAGGCGACGACGGGUAGCUGGUCUGAGAGGAUGGUCAGCCGGACUGGGACUGAGAUACGGCCCAGACUCCUACGGGGGGCAGCAAUUAGGAAUCUUGCGCAAUGGGCGAAAGCCUGACGCAGCGACGCCGCGUGACUGAUGAAGUCUUUCGGGAUGUAAAAGUCUUUUUUGGGGGAAGAAGGAUGUGACGGUACCCCAAGAAUAAGCCCCGGCUAACUACGUGCCAGCAGCCGCGGUAAUACGUAGGGGGCGAGCGUUGUCCGAAUUUACUGGGCGUAAAGCGCGCGUNAGCGGGACCUUUAAGUUGGGGGUGAAAUGGCGGAGCUCAACUCCGGAACUGCCUUCAAAAACUGGAGGUCUUGAGGUAUGGAGAGGGAAGUGGAAUUCCUGGUGUAGCGGUGAAAUGCGUAGAUAUCAGGAGGAACACCCGUGGCGAAGGCGGCUUCCUGGCCAUAUCCUGACGCUGAGGUGCGAAAGCUAGGGGAGCGAACGGGAUUAGAUACCCCGGUAGUCCUAGCCGUAAACGAUGGAUACUAGGUGUUAGAGGUAUCGACCCCUCUAGUGCCGGAGCUAACGCAUUAAGUAUCCCGCCUGGGGAGUACGACCGCAAGGUUGAAACUCAAAGGAAUUGACGGGGGCCCGCACAAGCGGUGGAGCAUGUGGUUUAAUACGUCACUAACCGUAGAACCUUACCCAGGCUUGACAUCUGGGGAACCCUGAUGAAAGUCGGGGGUGCUUCGUAAGAAGAGCCUCAAGACAGGUGUUGCAUGGCUGUCGUCAGCUCGUGUCGUGAGAUGUUGGGUUAAGUCCCGCAACGAGCGCAACCCUCAUCCGAUGUUGCCAGCGGAUAAUGCCGGGAACUCUUCGGAAACUGCCCGUGUAAGCGGGAGGAAGGUGGGGAUGACGUCAAGUCAGCAUGGCCCUUACGCCUGGGGCUACACACAUGCUACAAUGGAUGUUAACAAAGGGCAGCAAUACCGCGAGGUGGAGCUAAUCUCAAAAAUGCAUCCUCAGUUCGGAUUGUAGUCUGCAACUCGACUACAUGAAGUCGGAAUCGCUAGUAACCGCAGGUCAGCUAAACUGCGGUGAAUACGUUCCCGGGCCUUGUACACACCGCCCGUCACGCCACCUGAAUUGUCUGCACCCGAAGUCGAUGGCCUAACCCGCAAGGGAAGGAGUCGCCGAAGGUGUGG